rnacentral:rRNA from 1 species
UACAUGCAAGUCGAGCGAAUGGAUUGAGAGCUUGCUCUCAAGAAGUUAGCGGCGGACGGGUGAGUAACACGUGGGUAACCUGCCCAUAAGACUGGGAUAACUCCGGGAAACCGGGGCUAAUACCGGAUAACAUUUUGAACCGCAUGGUUCGAAAUUGAAAGGCGGCUUCGGCUGUCACUUAUGGAUGGACCCGCGUCGCAUUAGCUAGUUGGUGAGGUAACGGCUCACCAAGGCAACGAUGCGUAGCCGACCUGAGAGGGUGAUCGGCCACACUGGGACUGAGACACGGCCCAGACUCCUACGGGAGGCAGCAGUAGGGAAUCUUCCGCAAUGGACGAAAGUCUGACGGAGCAACGCCGCGUGAGUGAUGAAGGCUUUCGGGUCGUAAAACUCUGUUGUUAGGGAAGAACAAGUGCUAGUUGAAUAAGCUGGCACCUUGACGGUACCUAACCAGAAAGCCACGGCUAACUACGUGCCAGCAGCCGCGGUAA